GAUUAGUCGAGGUCAGAUGGUCCGCCAAAGGAAACGGGCAAUCUCCGUGGCAAUAGAAGGCGUCGUAUCCGGGAGGAGCAACAAUCCAAUCGUUCCAAGCAACGUCGGCAAAGUCUACGUACAGCGGAUGUCGACGACAAUUUUCUCGACCAUCCUUUCGUCUGUUCUUUCUUAAAGCUGCACGUCUCGCACGUCUAUCCAAAAUCUCUUUCCCAGAAGUCACCCUUAAUUUACCAUCGUCCAUAUAUAUAAAAGAUGCAACGUGUUGUGUCGAAAGACUAAGUUGAACAAAUAAAAAAAUACGUAGAAGAUCGGCAGAUACUAAUAAAGAAGAAGAAGAAGAACAAAUAGAAAAUUAAAGAUCAUUUAAAAGGUUUUGAACGACUAUUAAUCAGCGCGUUUCGUUUGAAUUCUUUAAUUUCCCGCCACUUAAAAUGGCGUCGUCUCCCGAGCGGUGGUCCACCGCAGAAGUAAACGUUCAUCUUCCUAAACGAUUUGGGUGGUCCAGAAUACGCAUUGGUUUCUUCGAAAAAAGAAAUGAAAGAUGAUUGUAUUUCAAUGAUUAAAAGCGCGAUUUCGCGCGUUCCUCUUUUUUAUAAAUUGAAACGUUAAAAGUGCCGGAUUCAAAUAAAGAAGCAAUGGAAGGACGAAAAAUUAUUAAUUAGAAGACGAGAGGAACGAUGGAAUACGAAAUUCGCCAACAAGACGGUGGACGUUCGUCCGUUCGUUAUUACUGACCGUUCGCAAAAGGUUAAUAAAGGAAGAAAAACAAGAGGAAGAAGAGGAAGAGGAGGAGCUAAAAAACAAUGGUUCAUUAGGUAUCCAAAAAAUGAAGAGAGAACAGAAAAGACUGAACGAUGACGUAGGAGGAGGAAAGAAAGAAAGAAAGAAAGAAAAAAGAAAGAAAGAGAGAAAGGGAUACGUAGCAGCAUGCUUGGAUCAUUGCAUUGGCGAGGGCGAGAAAGAGACAGGAAGAGAGAGAGAGAGAGAGAGAGAGAGAGGGAAAGAGGGAGAGAGGAGAAAGAGUAAGAGGGAGAAGAGAAUAAAAAGAGAAAGAUAUAGUGGUACUGGGGAGAAGAGUGGGAGCAGAGCCAAGCUGUCUGCUGACUCUGGCGAUCUCCGAGUGCCGAGGAGGCGAGCGCUCCUACGACGACAUUAAGUCUAGCUACAUCAAAGGCACUCAGGAUAUGCAAUAUGAGAUGAAAUAAAUUUCGCGCCCACGACUGAUUGAUUACCAUUUCUAUAUGGAAGAGAAAAAUAUACACGAUUGUGGCGCGAAGAUCAUCAAUACAGAGAGUGAAGAAAAUCAACAAAAGUAGUAGCAACAGCAACAACAACAGAUACAGCAAUAACAGUAGUAGCAGCAGCAAGAGCACGUCAUCGUCCAAAGUAAUCGAGCCGUGAGAUACUAAACGAAGAAGAUGACGACGAAGAGGACGACGAUGAUAAGAGGAAGGAAGUAUGUAACCAUCAAAUUAGAGAAGAUUUCAAUCUGUUCAUAGAUGGCGCUCGUCAGGAUUUUCUCUACUUUUCUAUACGGAGAAAGUUAUAAGGUUAUCUUUUUAGAUAUUCUUUUCUUUUAUAUGACUUUUUAAUACGAAUUGGUUUCGAAAUCAUUUAGUAUUAAGUUGUAAACAACGAUACGAUUGUUUUUUUAUGAUAUAUAUACGUAUAUAUGUUUUUCUACGGAUUGCGAUGGUCAAAGUUUUACAGUUUAUUUGAAGAAUAAUCUUUUAGAUUAAAAAUGUGCUACGAAGAAGUAAAA
rnacentral:lncRNA from 1 species